rnacentral:rRNA from 1 species
UGGGGAAUAUUGGACAAUGGGCGGAAGCCUGAUCCAGCAACGCCGCGUGAGGGAUGACGGCCUUCGGGUUGUAAACCUCUUUCAGUACCGACGAAGCGAAAGUGACGGUAGGUACAGAAGAAGGACCGGCCAACUACGUGCCAGCAGCCGCGGUAAUACGUAGGGUCCGAGCGUUGUCCGGAAUUAUUGGGUGUAAAGGGCUCGUAGGCGGUUUGUCGCGUCGGGAGUGAAAAACAGCGGGCUUAACUCGUUGCUUGCUUUCGAUACGGGGCAGACUAGAGGUAUGCAGGGGGAGAAUGGAAUUCCUGGUGUAGCGGUGAAAUACGCAGAUAUCAGGAGGAACACCGGUGGCGAAGGCGGUUCUCUGGGCAUUACCUGACGCUGAGGAGCGAAAGUGUGGGGAGCGAACAGGAUUAGAUACCCUGGGUAGUCCACACCGUAAACGUUGGGCGCUAGGUGUGGGGUCCUUUUCUACGGAUUCCGUGCCGUAGCUAACGCAUUUAAGCGCCCCGCCUGGGGGAGUACGGCCGCAAGGCUAAAACUUAAAUG